UCGGAUGUGGUGCAUGGUAUACGCCCGUUUUCCCUUUAAGCGAUCUGAGUAAAUAAAAUGAAGUGGGAGCUCUGGGUUCGAUUCCCGGCGUCCGAA